ACAGAGAAGCAGACGAUUGCGGCUGGGAGGUUUAUUAGUAAACCUGUUCCAGAGCCUCUUAACGAGCGUGCCUGGGUGAGUUUCCCAGGAUCCGUAUUGGUGACUUUCUGUGGCUGGAGGACCAUCUUCCCCAAGGGCAAAGCCGGCUGGGAUCCCUGCAGAGUUAACUUCCGAUUUCCCAGGACUCAGAUAUGACCUUGCCCGCUGACCUCCCUCCUAGUCACUUCCAUGCACGCCCAGGAACCUGCCCACGGGCUCUGGCUCCAGGACUCCAUAGCUUAUCCUUUCCCGAAGCCUUCAUCCCAUAGAGCGGGCAUUUGGGAAUCGACGGUUGACCAUUAUGGUGCCACAAGAUGGAAAGACCCAGGGUCCCCGAAUGACCGCGUGAAGCCAAUUCUGCCACCAAACUGUGUUGAACAGAGACAUGAACGAGCAACGAACCUUUACUGCAUUAAUCCACAUUGGUUGUAUCUUAAAGCAGUUGGCAUAGCCUGCUUAAUAGAUUUCCUUUUUCUAUCCCUCAUCCCAGCAAAACGUUCUAGGUUGCCGGGACAGCUUGUGGACCGUGUGCUUAAAGAGAUGUCAGGGUAAGCGUUCCAUUUUGCUAGCCAAGCAUUCACACGUCACCAAGAGACGAGGCUAGCCGGUGAGGUUCUGCCGAAAUGCUUCCAAGUCAGGGAAGCCCCUGCAUUUUUUGAGAAAUAAAAGGAAAAAUGAAGGUUGUCCUCCUGGUGCGUUCACACCGUGAGGUGUCACAGAGACCUUGAGACGUCUUAAUGUGGGCUUUUGCCGGGUGACGAAAGUGAACACCCCCUUCUCUUCCACAAGUAUUUAUUGUGUGGUUAGCAUCAUGCCCCCCAUCUCGCCUCAGAAAGCAAGUCUGAGAAAUUCAAGAGUUGGCCCCGGACGCUGCCCCUCCAUGCAGGGGGGACCUCAGAUGGUGCAUGACAAGUGAACUGCAGGAAUGUGUCAGCUACGCCGACGUGAUGUCUCGGGUGGACGGCUACUGCCUGUAUUCAGGGAGCUUAUGUGUCUCUUGUAUCCAUUCCCUUCCCUUCCCGGGAGACUCCAUUAUUUCUUGGUACUCUUUCUAGACCUGUCACCCUUUCGUGGUGACCCAUCAUAUAGGUUCGCUAUUGAUGAGAACUGUUUUCAGUGUUGCAAGGAGGUCAAAAACAAACAGUAUUUCCCGGGUUAGAACAAAGAAGGCUUUGGCUUGAAUGAACUUUUGCUUAGUCACGAAGAACCCAGGGCCCGGCUCUGCUCUGGGGAUAAGAUGGCAGCCUGGGUUUCACUCCUGGUUCCACAGUUGGAUUUUGCGAGUUUUACAACACACUGUUUCUCGGGGCGUAAGAGUCGCGAUGCAGUUUGAGGAGUUUUGAGUGACACGACUGAUGUAUUUCAGCCUCUUUUCCCUACUUCAAGCUCCCCCCCCCUUUUUUUUAAAGUUUAUUCAUUUAUUUUGAGAGAGACAGAGAGAGAGAGUGCAAGUGGGAGAGGAGCAGAGACAGAGGGGGA